ACCGGAGGCCAUGUGUUGUCUUUUUUUCUGAAAUCUUCAGAAAAAUCUUCAUUGUUUACCCCUAGAUUCCUGUGGGUGGAUCACCACAGAUGAUCAGAGGAGGAAUUGAACUUCACAUCUGAAAGUUCUUUUUGGUGGAGAACAGAGAUGGUCCCCUGGACAUGGGAGUCAGGGAAGAAGGAGCGACUGGGAUUUUAGGACUCCUGAGUCUUGUGUACAGACCUUCAAGAUCUCCCUCACCUCCUGGUAUGCCAUGAAGCGUUGGACCAAAGCCCAAAAUAAGAAGAUGAGGGUCAGAAAGGACUAGGUAAGAGGAGCUCUUUCUAGCUCAUGUGCCACUACAGACUUUGGCAGGAGAGCCUUCCUCUGAAUUCUUUAUGAGAGUCAUCUUUCCCUCCCCUGAAUACCCACAGUCCUUUUCCAACCCUCUCCUUUGAAUAUGUUUACUCAGUAUUUAUUAAUUACCUGCCUGGGGCCAGACAUACUCUUAUGGCUUCCACCACUUCCCCACCA
rnacentral:lncRNA from 1 species